rnacentral:rRNA from 1 species
UACGUGGGGGGCAAGCGUUGUCCGGAUUUACUGGGCGUAAAGAGCGUGUAGGCGGCCAAACAGGUCCGUUGUGAAAACUGGAGGCUCAACCUCCAGACGUCGACGGAAACCGUGUGGCUAGAGUCCGGAAGAGGAGAGUGGAAUUCCUGGUGUAGCGGUGAAAUGCGCAGAUAUCAGGAAGAACACCAAUGGCGAAGGCAACUCUCUGGGACGGUACUGACGCUGAGACGCGAAAGCGUGGGGAGCGAACAGG